CCACCACCGUUGUGAAGACAGUUUUGGAUACCUCAGCUCAGACUUCAUUAUUGUUUGAGCAACGAUACAGUAAUCUACUUAUUAGGGUAGCGUGUUCUGACUGAUAAAAGCAACAGAAAUUCUGGUUAUGAUCCAGGGCAAUUUUGGUUCUUGUUAUGUUUGCGAUACUCCGACACGACACCAGCUUCCUGAAAGGCAGAACUCCGAUUUGCUGCCAGUUUAGGCUGUGAAAGGACACGAUCCGGGAGCCAUCAACCAAUAGCAUCGAAAUUAGAUUAGGAACGAUGGAAUUGUCUUAAUGAAACCCACACAUCUCACAGGGAGCGAGCGGCCCAAGGCAUACGAGAUAUUCCAUCUCCCGUAGAGAAUCUGCGGCAACUUUGUCACCUACAGCGCAGGCGAAAGCAGUCGUGAUCAUCAUCAUACCAAUUUAUUUGCAUAUUAUUACGUAGCUUUUGACACCAGAGUCGUCGGGAGGGUCCCAUCCGCUGCUCCUCCACUUCGCUUUGGAGUUUCGAGCAUUUGUCACACCUGCAAGGACAUGCAAUCCGUCCCCCCAAUCGCAAGUUGGCUCUGCAUCGACAUCUAUCUAUGACCCGGAAUCGCACGGCAAUGCUAGCGAAGACCUUUUCCAACUACAAGUUUCAGUGUUGAGUCUUACAAGUGUCCAAGGAAAUAUAAUCCACAUGCCUAUGCGUCAAAUAUUAGAGAUAGCUCAUCCAGAAUAUCAAUAAGCUGAAGGGGAUAUGUUCAUAUUCGCGAUAGUUAUGUUGUGAAUCGUACAAGAGUCACGAAGUCGCUUCCUAACUCGUGGUGUGGGUGCCAGUAUUUUUGGUGGAGCCGACUCAGCUCUGUCGGUGUUCAUGAUUCGAACCAAACAGCCUCGCUCCGUCAUUAAACCCUGGCCUAUUGACAAGAAAAUGAAUGGUACUCUGAAAAUUUGGCUCCUCCAACUGGAAAACAUCUAGACCAGUAAUCUUGGACAUAUUCCUCCUCACCGGCAUCGUUCAUUCCGUGCGGUUCAAUUUCGCUUCACAGCUUUUGCUAAACUGCUCCACUUCUACAACCUACGCUUUCUGAGGUAAGCUCACAGAUGUCGAGAACGCCUUCGUCGUAUUUCCAGAAAGGAUUGCCCAUGCGGUGAUAUAUCUCAACGACAUCGAAUUCCCCACACAUCCAGCCGAUGAACCUUCUGCGACGACACAUUAAUUCUCAUCGUCUUUCUUGGUAUGUGAUUACUAAGCCGUCCAAUUGUAAAUCCUGCUCAUCUUGAUCACUAUGCAUGCUUCAAAUUGGAGCCCACCGAGUUGAAUCCCACCCAAAUAUGAACCACUCGUAUUUAUGCCGAUUGAUUACGUUCUCCACAAAGAGUUGUCGAUGUGUUGUAACCCAGGAUAUCUGAAUUUGAUGUGAGCUGUGGAAGCACUUGAGGUUCUAUGCGGUGCAAUCAAUCCAGUGCUGAGAGAAGCAUCCGCAGAUGGCACCAACUUUGCGUCUGUUAGCAGUUCGGCAAGAUAUGUGACAGCCUGGAGGAAGGAUCUUGAGCAUUACCAUGCUCCCUUCUCCCAGGAUAUACAGCUGCGGUGGUUUGAGAGCUGCGAAGCUAUACGAAAAUAUGAACCCCAGAACUCCGUUCAAGACUUGCUGCGGGAGGGUCCUGUAGCUUCAACAAGGACGUCACAAGAGGUUUCGCCCGGAUGGUCGGCAACGAAAAGCGUAACUACGAGGGGAACGAAGCCAUGCCUCAACGACAAGGGUCACCUCGGAUGGGACAGCAUCCACUCCCAACCAAUUCAACACAAUCGCCGUGACCGCCUUCCUGCUGGGCUAGCACAUUUACCCCUUGGGAGUGGUAUCUUCCUUCUCCAGUUUCUACAAGAGGAGGAUUUAGACAAUUACUCCUUCCAUCCCCAGCAGUGAUCGUGUUGCUGAUGUAGCCGACUGUUGCCAUGCGUUGAUGUAUCCAAGUAUCUCAGAUUUACUGUUGCAGUCGACAAUUUACGAGGUGCACUGUAGUAUACUGAGUUUCAGAUGAAUAUUACGCCUUCGUGGUAGCGUUGCUGGACCAGAAACUCAUUCCUCCAGACCUCGCUGCAAUGCGUUUCAAUCCUGUGGUGCGUGAUUGUGAGUAAUUUCGAGUGGAAAGAGAGAGAGAGAGAGAGAGAGAGAGAUAGGCCAUGACAGUGGUUACAUGUUGGAUUGAAUGAACUUACUUUACCUGGCCAAAGUGUACUACUAUUCCCACUGCGACUCGAAGUAAGUAAAAUACCUGUGAAUUGCCUAAAA